rnacentral:pre_miRNA from 1 species
AGAGUACUCCCUCCGUCCGGAAAUACUUGUCGGAGAAAUAAAUGUAUCUAGACACAUUUUAGUUUUAGAUACAUCCAUUUUUAUCCAUUUCUCUGACAAGUAUUUUCGGACGGAGGGAGUAAUUA